rnacentral:rRNA from 1 species
AUGGACAGCGAGCUGGCUGAUUUUGCUGCUUCUUACCUCGGCGAGGAGGAAGCCGUCAAGAAGCCUGACAGCAGUCCAUCCGCAGGAGAGCGGAAGGUAUUGAUUUUACGCAGGUCCCCAAUCACACAGGAUCCCCCAUUCCUGAAUCCCCCUGCUUAUGGCUACCCGGACGGCGGUGGCGACCAGCCAAGCUUCGUCCUCAUCGAGCCACACGCCUACUUUGCCGACCGCCUCAACGCCACCACCGCCGACUGCGGCUUGGAGGGUCUCGGUCUCCGGGGGAAAAUCAAGGUCACCUUCUGCACCGCCCAACCGCCGCAAGUCUCCUACCUCUGCGUCCAUGCCACCGACUACGACCACACCGCCUUCGCCUACCCGCCUCACAUAGUCGCCACAGAGACUGAGGGCGGCCUCGUCCUUCUAUCCGUCGUAGUCGGUGGCCGCCCAUCCUAUGCCUCGCUUCGCCUCAAACAACACUACUUUGUCUACAACGCAAGCGUCCCUGAGCUCAAGCACAUCAAGCAGCCGGGCGACGACCACCCAGUCAACGAUCACUCCUUUGCCAUUGUGAGCAAUGGCAAACCUGACUGCACCUUCGUCCUUGCCGCACAAGCUGAUAGGUUUGGGCAUGGCAAUCCUUCUCACCUCUGCCUGUAUCAAUCUGGUACCAACUCCUGGAGCAAAGUGCUGGUGAAUGUCGAUUCAGUCCCCUACCAGCUCACCACAUACAAGGCAAUCACCAUAAAAGGAGAUUUAGGCCUAGUAGCCUGGGUCGAUCUCUCACAUAUGAUCACCUUCUGCAACGUGCUGGACAAAAGCCCCAUCGCUGCCUAA